rnacentral:rRNA from 1 species
CAGUCGCCGCGGGAAUACGAAGGGGGCUAGCGUUGUUCGGAUUUACUGGGCGUAAAGCGCACGUAGGCGGAUCGAUCAGUCAGGGGUGAAAUCCCAGAGCUCAACUCUGGAACUGCCUUUGAUACUGUCGAUCUAGAGUAUGGAAGAGGUGAGUGGAAUUCCGAGUGUAGAGGUGAAAUUCGUAGAUAUUCGGAGGAACACCAGUGGCGAAGGCGGCUCACUGGCUCGAUACUGACGCUGAGGUGCGAAAGCGUGGGGAGCAAACAGGAUUAGAUACCCCUGUAGUCCCUGUCUCUUAUAC